rnacentral:rRNA from 1 species
UACGUAGGGUGCGAGCGUUAAUCGGAAUUACUGGGCGUAAAGCGUGCGCAGGCGGCUUCGCAAGUCAGACGUGAAAUCCCCGGGCUUAACCUGGGAAUGGCGUUUGAAACUACGGAGCUGGAGUGUGGCAGAGGGAGGUAGAAUUCCACGUGUAGCGGUGAAAUGCGUAGAUAUGCGGAGGAACACCGAUGGCGAAGGCAGCCCCCUGGGCCAACACUGACGCUCAGGCACGAAAGCGUGGGGAGCAAACAGG